CCCUUAGAUGCUCUGGGCCGCGCGCGCGCUACACUGGUCGAUGCAACGAGUUUCUUUCCUUGGCCGACAGGCCUGGGCAAUCUUUGAACAUCGAUCGUGAUCGGGAUAGAUUCUUGUAAUUUUUGAUCUUAAACGAGGAAUUCCUAGUAAACGCAAGUCAUCAGCUUGCAUUGAUUACGACCCUGCCCUUUGUACACACCGCCCGUCGCACCUACCGAUUGAAUGGUCCGGUGAAAUCUCCGGACUGGCGUGAGUCGGAGCAAUCUGACAAACACCGGAAAGUUGAUUAAACCUUACCAUUUAGAGGAAGGUGAAGUCGUAACA
rnacentral:rRNA from 1 species